rnacentral:rRNA from 1 species
UUUGGUGGUUCUAGCGAAGUGGCAACACCCGAUCCCAUUCCGAACUCGGCAGUUAAGCACUUCAGCACCGAUGAUAUCUAGGCAUCAGUCUAGGAAAAGUAGGACGCCGCCAAAA